UGAACAGGUCCUGGAAGCCAAAUGUUGC
rnacentral:piRNA from 1 species